rnacentral:misc_RNA from 1 species
GCGCGCACUUUGUGUUGGUUUGUAGAGUGCUUGUUGUCAUUCGGUGACAGUUGUCAACAUACUCGGCAAGUGUGAGCUCCCGAAACUUUGCGCGCUAAGCAUAUUACCAGCGCUUAAUUUCGCGCGGGGUCGUUGCGUGUUGCGCGCACAGCGUCUUUGAUCCGUGCUCCUGCCUGGGCGCGUUAAAUGCGCGUAUCUGAGAGCGCCCGGUGGGUUAACUCGUUGCCGAAUGUACACUAACGUCGACAUCUGCGGUGUUCCGCGAGGCCGAUGCGGUCGGGAAGUCUGCGACUGCGAAGGCUUCGCGCGUGUCUACACAGAGGCGCACGGCGGUGCCAGCGCCGUGGCUCAAAGCGGCUGGUGCUGCUACUGCGGCCAUCCGCCGGCCAAUCACAGUCGCUUCGACAGAAACAUGUUUGGCCGCCAAGAAAUCUUCUCGGUCAGCUGGCAUGGUGCCCGGCCACCACUGCUUGAUCUGCCCACACGUCGUGAGUUGAACAGAAUAUCGCAAGAAGCACAGCCCACGAUGCAUGAAGUCAUUGUGCUUGAACCUGAUGCGGAGAUGCACGAGACUGCCACUCCCGAUAAUGAAACGACUGAAGGGAUGACGCAGCCUGCUGAAAAGGGACAGUUGGAUCGGGAUGCGGGGCAGAAGAGAAAGCGCAGUGACGAGGAUGCUUCCUCUUCAGAAAUCGGGGAUCUCUUGCAGAAGGUUGAGUACCUGGAGAAAGAAACUAAGGAGCUGAAGAAGCGUCUGCUCGAGGAGCAAACACUUUCCAAAACACUCUCCACGUCACUUGAACUGGCCAGAACACUUCAGCAGUUGCAGCCUCAGCAAGAGGUGUGCAGCAAGGACAACGCCUGUGAGGAAACUCUCGAGGAAAGUCCAAGGAAAAGUGCCAGGAACUGCACAAGGAACAGACUACGGCGCAGCGCUGCAGACAGCUUGGUAGGUGGGCGUGUCACCAAUGACUCGUCCUUGGUGCAGAUUGGUGAAGGUGUCACAGGUGAAGGAGGAGCAGUUGGAGGAGAUUUGGACAAUGGCGAACCUCACUGCGACCAAGUUCGUCCGCAAACUCUGCCAAGCCGUGUUCACCCCUGAAGAGCUGCAGGGCAAAUGCCUGAGGAAUAAGGGUUUCGGCGACAGCAGAAAAGUCCUGGAUCCAAUUCGUCUGGGAGCCAUAAUUGACUACACGUGUUCAAAGUUUAAGACCGACAGAAGCUCGUUGCGAGUUGCCAUCUCCUGCCUGUUGUACCAACUGAAAUAGGGAACCACUUUGCAAUCAUAUCACUGCAGCAGUGAACGAUGUUGGGCCAGUUACUGUUGCAUGACGAAAGGGAAAAACAGCGCUUAUACAACGAGGACAGGGAAGGAACGACACUCAGUGCACUGGCCUAACAACAAUUUUAUUCCAGGAAGGCAAUAUAUGAAAAAGCAGUGCCUGCUAACACAUGUGCAGUACACAUCGUCACGUCAAUGUGAGUGAAAAAACGUAAAAGAGAAGUUAAAAAAACAAUAUUCUUCGCAGCUGUGAAUGUCAUCAGGGUAAAUAUCAGAGAGCACUGUAUAAGCUAAUUUAUUUCCUGAUAAGGGAUAACAAUGCUGUGCUAACACAUGAGUCACCCUUACGAAUUUUGUGAGCUUCCACCACCAGCCGCACGAAAUUGCCAAGAUUUCUCUUUUACUUUUUUGCUUCUCUUCUACAUUUUUUUACUUCUUUUGUAUGUUUUUUCACUCACAUUGACGUGACGAUCUGUUGCACAUGUGCUAGCAGGCAUUGCUUUUUCAUGCAUGUAUACCUUACUGCAUUAAAAUUGUUCUUAGUCAGUGCAUUGUGUGUGUCGUUCCUUCCCUGUCCUCAGUUGUACAAGCGCCGUUUUUUCCUUUUUGCCAUAUUACCGAUGUGCACAUCGGUGUGGCAACAAUGCAGCCGGGUUUUUGUUGUGUUAGUGCCAUUUUGAUGGCCAUAUUCAUUACCUGUGUGUUCAUGUUUUAUUUAUUUUUGCUCAUCUACUCGUUGCAUGUUUGUAUAAUAUUACAUGUCACUUUUGUUGUGGUAAAAAUAGCAAACUACAGAUAUCAAACUGUGAUAUAAACACUGGUUUAUAAGGAAGCAUGAUAUGACAGUUGGAUUUUUGCAUUAAUGAGUGUUUGACUUUAUUUGUAAUGUUUUUUUAUUUGUUGUGAUUUUGGAAAUGGAUCACAAUGCUGCAUUUUUAUUACUGACGUCCAUGUCUGUGUGGUGACAAAACUUUUUUUUUUUAACUCUAUUCACGUAGCGAUAUGCAUUAUCUCUGUAUUCAUCUUGUUUUUAAUUUUGUUGAUACCUAUUCCAUGUUAUUUUUUUUUUUGGUCCAAAAAAGUCAACAAUAAGCAGGUAUCAAGCUGUGAUAUGAACACCGGCUUACAACGAAGCACAAUAUUCCAGUUGGAUUUCUGUGCCAAUGAAUGUUUGGUUUUGUUUGUAAUGUUUUUUUAUUCAUUGUCUUGCUUUUGGAAUUGGAUUUUAGUACUGCAUUUUCUAGGCACUUGAAGUGUAGCUUGAUUGUUCCUCUGCAUAUGUUCCUAACUUCCCCGUUGAUGUCUUGUUUGAGCAGUAGUGUGAAGAGCUUUAUAAUAUAAAGAGCUCUGUGACCUUUAGUUGUAGUCGAUAUCUAAGGUUCAGAGGCUUCACAUAAUAAAACAUUGUUAGAAUUACAU